rnacentral:rRNA from 1 species
AGUGAACGCUGGCGGUAGGCCUAACACAUGCAAGUCGAACGGCAGCACAGUAAGAGCUUGCUCUUACGGGUGGCGAGUGGCGGACGGGUGAGGAAUACAUCGGAAUCUACUUUUUCGUGGGUGAUAACGUAGGGAAACUUACGCUAAUACCGCAUACGACCUACGGGUGAAAGCAGGGGAUCUUCGGACCUUGCGCGAUUGAAUGAGCCGAUGUCGGAUUAGCUAGUUGGCGGGGUAAAGGCCCACCAAGGCGACGAUCCGUAGCUGGUCUGAGAGGAUGAUCAGCCACACUGGAACUGAGACACGGUCCAGACUCCUACGGGGGGCAGCAGUGGGGAAUAUUGGACAAUGGGCGCAAGCCUGAUCCAGCCAUACCGCGUGGGUGAAGAAGGACUUCGGGUUGUAAAGCCCUUUUGUUGGGAAAGAAAAGCAGCAGGUUAAUACCCCGCUGUUCUGACGGUACCCAAAGAAUAAGCACCGGCUAACUUCGUG